rnacentral:tRNA from 1 species
GGUCCAUUCGUCUAGGGGUUAGGACGCCAGAUUUUCAUUCUGGUAACAGGGGUUCGAUUCCCCUAUGGACUACGA